CUGAUGAUGUGGCAAUCCUGCAAAGGUUCAAAGGGAAAAGAAAACAGAAAUUCUGACAUGAUGUUUAUUGGAGUAUUAAUUAUUAACAAUGUUUGGACUUUGGACAUCAUUUGCAACAUGCAAACAGUUCUUUAAUAGUGUUUGUAUCUUCCAUCAGUUUUAUAAGAAACCAGCAAAAGUAACUUCCCAAAAAGCUGAUAACUAUUUUAUAUAAUUUGUGAUCUUAUUAAAUGUUAUAAAGAAAAAAGUAAUUAAAAUAAAUUGGUGAAUAAUCCUCACAUGGCAUAAUUUUACUUGUUUCUCCCAUUGGAGGGCAGACUAGAACACGAUGAUUAGGCCGGGGGCAGUGGCUCACGCCUGUAACCCCAGCACUUUGGAAGGCCAAGGCGGUAGGUUUACUUGAGGUCAGGAGUUUGAGACCAAUCAAGUGAAAUCUUGUCUCUACGAAAAAUACAAAAAUUAGUCUGGAGUGGUAGUGGAUACCUGUAAUCCCAGUUACUCAGGAGGCUGAGGCAAGACAAUUGCUUAAACUCAGGAGGCAGAGGUUGCAGUGAGCCAAGAUUGGGUCACUGCACUCCAGCCUGGGCGACAGAGCAAGACUGUCUCAAAAAAAAAAAAAAAAACAAAAAACAAAAAACGAAGAUGAUUAACAUCUGUGAAGAAUCCAUACCAAUAUCUGUUGUUGUCUGACAUUUUAAGAAUAGCCAUUCU
rnacentral:lncRNA from 10 species